rnacentral:rRNA from 1 species
AGUGAACGCUGGCGGCAGGCCUAACACAUGCAAGUCGAACGGCAGCACAGGAGAGCUUGCUCUCUGGGUGGCGAGUGGCGGACGGGUGAGGAAUAUAUCGGAAUCUACCCUUUCGUGGGGGAUAACGUAGGGAAACUUACGCUAAUACCGCAUACGAACUGAGGUUGAAAGCGGCGGACCGCAAGGCGUCGCGCGGAUGGAUGAGCCGAUAUCCGAUUAGCUAGAUGGCGGGGGAAAGGCCCACCAAGGCGACGAUCGGUAGCUGGUCUGGAGGGGAGGAUCGGCCAAGCUGGAACUGAGACACGGUCCAGACGCGUACGGGGGGCAGCAGUGGGGAAUAUUGGACAAGGGGCGCAAGCCUGAUCCAGCCAUGCCGCGUGUGUGAAGAAGGCCUUCGGGUUGUAAAGCACUUUUGUUGGGAAAGAAAAGCGGUCGGUUAAUACCCGGUCGUUCUGACGGUACCCAAAGAAUAAGCACCGGCUAACUUCGUGCCAGCAGCCGCCGUAAAAC